GUUGUGAGCGCAAACUGCCAGUCAAGUGUUAAAUAUUAUCAAGUAUAUUUAUUUAUAAAUUUGCAAUUAAUAAAUCUUUCAUAAUAAUAUGAUCACAUAGUUACGAAUUUCGAUUAAUAAACUGGAAUUUUAUCAUGUAGAUGGGGCUUCAGCAUCAACAGGGAUGCAUUGAACAUAUAUCUCCAGGAAUGGUUCUGGCAUUGAUGAGUUGGGAAUGGUUCUGGCAUUGAUGAGUUGGGCACUUUAGGCUGUUAUAACAUGUGUCUGCAUUAGAUUCAUUAUUUGUGGGUUGCUGAUCAUGCAUGACGUUAUAAUUGAGGUGAAGUAGAUCAUUGCAUAUUGCAGUAGAUGAAUCUUGACAGCCAACGAUGGAGUAUCAUUGGCCUUUUCCGCAAUAAUGUAUUUUCUCUUAUUCCUAACAAGUAAUAAUUCUUACUAAACAAUAUAACACAUUGUAAAAUAUAGAAGUAUUAGCUUCUGAACACUUUGUAAGUUGACAUAUAAGGAAGAAGAUGAUUUUCGAAUAUAUCUUUGUACUGUAAAUCUUAUUCUAGUAAUGAAAAAAAUUGUUUUAUUUA